rnacentral:rRNA from 1 species
UUAUCCGGAUUUAUUGGGUGUAAAGGGUGCGUAGACGGGAGAACAAGUUAGUUGUGAAAGCCCUCGGCUUAACUGAGGAACUGCAACUAAAACUAUUUUUCUUGAGUGCAGGAGAGGAAAGCGGAAUUCCUAGUGUAGCGGUGAAAUGCGUAGAUAUUAGGAGGAACACCAGUGGCGAAGGCGGCUUUCUGGACUGUAACUGACGUUGAGGCACGAAAGUGUGGGGAGCAAACAGGAUUAGAUACCCUGGUAGUCCACACUGUAAACGAUGGAUACUAGGUGUAGGAGAUGAUUUCAUCAUCUGUGCCGAAGCAAACGCAAUAAGUAUCCCACCUGGGGAGUACGGCCGCAAGGUUGAAACUCAAAGGAAUUGACGGGGGCCCGCACAAGCAGUGGAGUAUGUGGUUUAAUUCGAAGCAACGCGAAGAA